GAAAUGCGAUAAGUAAUGUGAAUUGCAGAAUUCAGUGAAUCAUCGAAUCUUUGAACGCACCUUGCGCUCCUUGGUAUUCCUUGGAGCAUGCAUGUUUGAGUAUCAUGAAAUCUUCAAAGUAAAUCUUUUGUUAACUCAAUUGGUUUCUACUUUGGUAUUGGAGGUCUUUGCAGCUUCACACCUGCUCCUCUUUGUUCAUUAGCUGGAUCUCAGUGUUAUGCUUGGUUCCACUCGGCGUGAUAAGUUAUCUAUCGCUGAGGACACUGUAAAAGGUGGCCAAGGUAAAUGCAGAUGAACCGCUUCUAAUAGUCCAUUGACUUGGACAAUACUUUUAUGAUCUGAUAUCAAAUCAGGUAGGACUACCCGCUGAACUUAAGC
rnacentral:misc_RNA from 1 species